GCACAAGCGGUGGAUGAUGUGGAUUAAUUCGAUGCAACACGAAGAACCUCACCUGGGCUUGACAUGUAUGUAGUAGGGACCGAAAGGCGACGACCUUCGGGAGCAUGCACAGGUGCUGCAUGGCUGUCGUCAGCUCGUGCCGUGAGGUGUUGGGUUAAGUCCCACAACGAGCGCAACCCCUGUUGCCAGUUAGACAUUUCUGGCGAGACAGCCGGCGUAUAACCGGAGGAAGGUGGGAUGACGUCAAGUCAGCAUGGCCUUUAUGUCCAGGGCUACACACACGCUACAAUGGUCGGAACAGAGGGCAGCCAAGCCGCGAGGCGGAGCGAAUCCCUAAAAGCCGAUCUCAGUUCAGAUUGCAGGCUGCAACCCGCCUGCAUGAAGUCGGAGUUGCUAGUAACCGCAGGUCAGCUAUACUGCGGUGAAUACGUUCCCGGGCCUU
rnacentral:rRNA from 1 species